rnacentral:sRNA from 1 species
GGACCGCUUCUCAUGGAAGAACCCGAAGGGUGAAAAGGCCAUACGGACAGCCGGGUCAUAAGCCGA